rnacentral:rRNA from 1 species
AUUGAACGCUGGCGGCAGGCCUAACACAUGCAAGUCGAGCGAGUGGCGUACGGGUUAGCUAUGUCUGGGCCACUGCCUGGGGGAGGGGGUUAACUAAUGGACACGGUAGCUACUACCGCAUACCAUCAGAUGUGCCCAGUUGGGAUUAGCUUGUUGGUGGGGUAACGGCUUACCAAGGCGACGAUCCCUAGCUGGUCUGAGAGGAUGACCAGUCACACUGGAACUGAGACACGGUCCAGACUCCUACGGGAGGCAGCAGUGGGGAAUAUUGGACAAUGGGCGCAAGCCUGAUGCAGCCAUGCCGCGUGUGUGAAGAAGGCCUUCGGGUUGUAAAGUACUUUCAGCUGGGAGGCGUUACCCGCAGAAUAAGCACCGGCUAACUCCGUGCCAGCCGCCGCGGUAAUAC